rnacentral:rRNA from 1 species
AGGUGCCCGUACCGCAAACCGACACAGGUAGGUAGGAAGAAGAUUCUAAGGCCAACGGGAGAAGGGUUGUUAAGGAACUCGGCAAAUUGACCCCGUAACUUCGGGAGAAGGGGUGCUCCAGAGAUGGAGCCGCAGAGAAUCGGCCCAAGCAACUGUUUACCAAAAACACAGGUUUGUGCUAAAUCGAAAGAUGACGUAUACGAGCUGACGCCUGCCCGGUGCUGGAAGGUUAAGAGGAGAUGUGCAAGCAUUGAAUCGAAGCCCCAGUGAACGGCGGCCGUAACUAUAACGGUCCUAAGGUAGCGAAAUUCCUUGUCAGGUAAGUUCUGACCCGCAUGAAAGGCGUAAUGAUUUGGGCACUGUCUCAACAGCCCGCCCGGCGAAAUUGUAGUACCGGUGAAGAUGCCGGUUACCCGCGACAAGACGGAAAGACCCCAUGGAGCUUUACUGUAGCCUAAUAUUGGGUUUCGAUGUUGCAUGCACAGGAUAGAUGGGACACUGGGAAACAAUCGCUUUGGCGGUUGCGGAGUGGCCGUUGGGAUACCAUCCUUGCGAUAUUGGAAUUCUAACCUGCGGCUCUGAAUCGAGUCGGGGGACAUUGUUAGGUGGGCAGUUUGACUGGGGCGGUCGCCUCCUAAAAAGUAACGGAGGCGUUCAAAGGUUCGCUCAGCUUGAACGGAAAUCAAGCAAAAGAGUGCAAACGCAGAAGCGAGCCUAACUGCGAGACUGACGGGUCGAGCAGUAACGAAAGUUGGAGUUAGUGAUCCGGUGGUAUGUGAGUGGAAAUGCCAUCGCUCAACGGAUAAAAGUUACCCUGGGGAUAACAGGCUGAUCUCCCCCAAGAGUCCACAUCGACGGGGAGGUUUGGCACCUCGAUGUCGGCUCAUCGCAUCCUGGGGCUGUAUUCGGUCCCAAGGGUUUGGCUGUUCGCCAAUUAAAGCGGUACGCGAGCUGGGUUCAGAACGUCGUGAGACAGUUCGGUCCCUAUCUGUCGUGGGCGCAGGAUAUUUGAUGGGAGCUGUCCCUAGUACGAGAGGACCGGGACGGACGUACCUCUGGCGCACCAGUUGUUCCGCCAGGAGCAUAGCUGGGCAACUACGUACGGAUCGGAUAAACGCUGAAAGCAUCUAAGCGUGAAGCCGACCCAAAGAUAAGAUAUCCCAUUGUUUCAAACAAGUAAGACCCCUUGAAGACUACAAGGUUGAUAGGCACGAUGUGUAAGUGGAGCGAUCCAUUCAGCAAGCGUGUACUAAUAGGUCGAGGGCUUGACCAC